UUUGUCUGCAGGAUAGGGACGCAACCUCCAGCAGCCUCGCGUGGCCCCAGAGUUCCGGCAAGGGUCACGCAGGCAGAAAGGCUGUUGGAUUCCCCUGGAACUGCAUUUGGAAACAGAUGUGAUCUGCGUGUGGGAGAGAAAGCCAAGCCCUGGUGCUCUGGAACCUAAAGACGAAUGUCCCUUCCACCCAGGAAUUUCUCUCUCAGACAUCAUCUGACCUGUGUGCAAAGCUGAGCAUGAGUGACUCCAUACCUCUCAGCUAG
ensembl:antisense 1810013D15Rik RIKEN cDNA 1810013D15 gene